rnacentral:snRNA from 1 species
AGUAUUCUAUCUCUAAUCCAUAA